rnacentral:rRNA from 1 species
UGAGGAAUAUUGGUCAAUGGGCGAGAGCCUGAACCAGCCAAGUAGCGUGCAGGAUGACGGCCCUAUGGGUUGUAAACUGCUUUUAUAAGGGAAUAAAGUGAGCCUCGUGAGGCUUUUUGCAUGUACCUUAUGAAUAAGGACCGGCUAAUUCCGUGCCAGCAGCCGCGGUAAUACGGAAGGUCCGGGCGUUAUCCGGAUUUAUUGGGUUUAAAGGGAGCGUAGGCGGUCUGGUAAGUCAGCUGUGAAAACGCGGGGCUCAACUCCGCGCCUGCAGUUGAUACUGUCGGACUUGAGUGCACGCAGGGAUGCCGGAAUUCAUGGUGUAGCGGUGAAAUGCUUAGAUAUCAUGAAGAACUCCGAUCGCGAAGGCAGGUGUCCGGAGUGCUACUGACGCUGAGGCUCGAAAGUGUGGGUAUCAAACAGGAUUAGAUACCC